CAGUACGACAUCUGGGUAACUUUGCCUUUGUUGGCAUACUGCAUAUUCUACAUGGUUUGGUAUGGUAUGCAUUUGAAAACAGCCCAUGUGAAAGUAAAGUUCAUAGCCUAAUGGAUUUAUGACAUGCUGUUCACACAAUUUAGUGUAUCGUGAGAGUAUUUUAGUUGAGGAAUACUCCAACGUCUGUGGCUUUGUUAUGGAAACACUAUGGUUGGUUUUGAUGUCAUUCAAGGAAAGCUUUAUUUUCAAAUGGCAGCCGUUGAUUUGUGUUGGAGGUAACAACUAGUGUCAGUGAUAAAGAGGUAGAUAAUGUUUAACAGGAAUAUUGUGGCGAUGUAUCAAAGGUUCAAUUCUAUGGUCCUGCCGGAUCCACCUACAAUCUUCAAGAGACUUCUGUCCUCUGGUGAGUGUCGUUCUGAACCGGUAGCAUGGUGGAAUUGGCUUUCUACCCGGCGGUGGCGCUGAUGUAUUUCUUUGGGGUGAUGAAAGCCACACAGGACGACCGGGUGGAGCUGGACGAACGUGCGUCGGUCAACGUUUUCUGUCUGUUCGUGUUGGCCCAGCCGCUGUGUCUCGUACUGGGAGAGUACACUGGCAUGGCUACGUACCUCCUCACGGCGCUGGUCUCGUACAACUUCCUGCCUUGGAGGACCACAACAGAGCCUGCAAAGGAGAAAGAAUCAAUAAAGAAGUCAAAGUGAAAGCAAGAAAACAUUCUGAAUUCAAACUGUUUGUAAAGGAAAGAAAUAUUUAUGUAAAGAAUAAGCCUUGAAUGUUAAUAAAUUAAUGUGUAGCUCAA